rnacentral:tRNA from 1 species
CGGAGCGUAGCGCAGCCUGGUAGCGCAUCUGCUUUGGGAGCAGGGGGUCGGAGGUUCAAAUCCUCUCGCUCCGACCA